rnacentral:rRNA from 1 species
UCAAAUCAGGUAGGACUACCCGCUGAACUUAAGC